AUACAAAUAUUGUAGAUGAACCGCGAUGAAGGCGCCUGCACGGCCAAGUCGACCAAUUUCAGAGUUUGAUUUUCAGGCUCAGAACGAACGCUGGCGGCAGGCUUAACACAUGCAAGUCGAACGGUCUCUUCGGAGGCAGUGGCAGACGGGUGAGUAAUGCAUGGGAAUCUACCGUUCUCUACGGAAUAACUCAGGGAAACUUGUGCUAAUACCGUAUACGCCCUUUUGGGGAAAGAUUUAUCGGAGAAUGAUGAGCCCAUGUUGGAUUAGCUAGUUGGUAGGGUAAAGGCCUACCAAGGCGACGAUCCAUAGCUGGUCUGAGAGGAUGAUCAGCCACACUGGGACUGAGACACGGCCCAGACUCCUACGGGAGGCAGCAGUGGGGAAUAUUGGACAAUGGGCGCAAGCCUGAUCCAGCCAUGCCGCGUGAGUGAUGAAGGCCCUAGGGUUGUAAAGCUCUUUCACCGGUGAAGAUAAUGACGGUAACCGGAGAAGAAGCCCCGGCUAACUUCGUGCCAGCAGCCGCGGUAAUACGAAGGGGGCUAGCGUUGUUCGGAUUUACUGGGCGUAAAGCGCACGUAGGCGGACUUUUAAGUCAGGGGUGAAAUCCCGGGGCUCAACCCCGGAACUGCCUUUGAUACUGGAAGUCUUGAGUAUGGAAGAGGUAAGUGGAAUUGCGAGUGUAGAGGUGAAAUUCGUAGAUAUUCGCAGGAACACCAGUGGCGAAGGCGGCUUACUGGUCCAUUACUGACGCGAGGUCGAGAGCGUCC
rnacentral:rRNA from 1 species